CAGUCGCCGCGGGAACACGUAGGGUGCGAGCGUUAAUCGGAAUUACUGGGCGUAAAGCGUGCGCAGGCGGUUGUGUAAGACAGGUGUGAAAUCCCCGGGCUUAACCUGGGAACUGCGCUUGUGACUGCACAGCUAGAGUAUGGCAGAGGGGGGUGGAAUUCCACGUGUAGCAGUGAAAAGCGUAGAGAUGUGGAGGAACACCGAUGGCGAAGGCAGCCCCCUGGGCCAAUACUGACGCUCAUGCACGAAAGCGUGGGGAGCAAACAGGAUUAGAUACCCGAGUAGUCCCUGUCUCUUAUAC
rnacentral:rRNA from 1 species